rnacentral:rRNA from 1 species
AAGUAUAUGCAUAUUAUUUAUAUGUAGAAACUGCGAACGGCUCAUUAAAACAGUUAUAAUCUACUUGACAUUUUUUUCUAUAAGGAUAACUACGGAAAAUCUGUAGCUAAUACUAGAUUUUUGCCAAAACCUUAUCUUAUUACUAAGAUUGGUUAAUUGGUAGUACUUGUUAUCACAAUAAUAACAUUAAACAAAUGUUCAAUGUAAGGAAUUAUAACAAAGAAGCGACGCAUGAAUAAACAUUUUUUGUUUUAUUUUUUUUGCGCGUAUCAAUCGAGUUUCUGACCUAUCAGCUUUUGAUGUUAGGAUAUAGGCUUAACAUGGCUAUGACGGGUAACGGGGAAUUAGAGUUCGAUUCCGGAGAGGGAGCCUGAGAAACGGCUACCACAUCUAAGGAAGGCAGCAGGCGCGUAAAUUACCCAAUUCUAAAGAAGAGAGGUAGUGACAAGAAAUAAUAGGACAAGACUUUUUAUAAGUUUUGAAUCUGUAAUGGUAGGAAUUUAAAUCUUUCCUAGAAUUCAAUUGGAGGGCAAGUCUGGUGCCAGCAGCCGCGGUAAUUCCAGCUCCAAUAGCGUAUAUUAAAAUUGUUGCAGUUAAAACGCUCGUAGUUGUAUUUUAAAGAAGCACAGCUCGAUUAGAAUGUCUAUCUACAGUUGACGUGAGCAAAUUGCUCUAGUCACACUGUGUGUAUAUGCACACCUUUUUGAGCAAUACAAUUCUUUUUAAGUUUUUAUCAAUAACAUACUCGACUUGUUAGGUUAAAAACUUGUUACUUUGAGUAAAUUAGAGUGUUUAAAGCAAACUUAUUUUUUUGUUUGAAUACUAUAGCAUGGAAUAACAACAUUGGACUGGUCAAUACGUUUUGCGCAAGCACAUAUGCACCUAUAUAUUAUAUUAUAUGUACGUGUUUUGUGCCAGCUAACAUUGCUUGGUUACGAUUAAUAGGAGUAGGUUUUGGGGGCAUUUGUAUUCAGAAGCUAGAGGUGAAAUUCUAAGAUUUUCUGGAGACAAACAACUGCGAAAGCAUUUGCCUAACAUACUUCCAUUAAUCAAGAACGAAAGUUAAGGGAGUGAAGACGAUUAGAUACCGUCGUAAUCUUAACCAUAAACGAUACCGACUAGGUGUUGGGAAAGUACAAUUAUUAGUGCACAACAUAUUAUGUAUAUACAUAUAUAUACACAUACGUUGUUGCACUACGCUUACUUUUUCAGUACCUUAUGAGAAAUCAAAGUUUUUGGGUUCUGGGGCGAGUAUUCGCGCAAGCGAGAAAGUUAAAAGAAUUGACGGAGGGGCACCACCAGGCGUGGAGCUUGCGGCUUAAUUUGACUCAACACGGGAAACCUCACUAGUGUAAGACAAGAGUAGGAUUGACAGAUUGAUGUAUGUUCUUUCUUGAUUUCUUGGAUGGUGAUGCAUGGCCGUUUUUAGUUCGUGAAUUUUGAUUUGUCUGGUUAAUUCCGAUAACGAACGAGAUCUUACUUUGCUAAUUAGCGGUAAAGCCGUUUUGGUUCAGUGUGUGUAAACAAGUACUACUUAUAUAUGUGUAUAUAUAUAUAUAUAUAUACAUACAUAUAUAUAUGAAUAUGUGCACUGUCACCGCCACGGACCGUAUUUAUUUAAAAUUAAAAGCUUCUUAGAGAAACGAUGUGUGUUUAACACAAG